GACGAACGCUGGCGGUGUGCUUAACACAUGCAAGUGGUGCGACGAACCAGAGCUUGCUCUGGGGCAAAGCCGCGAACGGGUGAGUAACACGUGGGUAAUCUACCCCGAUGACCGGGACAACCCGAGGAAACUCGGGCUAAUACCGGAUGUGGUGCGGAGACAUAAGUCUCUUCACUAAAGGUAGCUUCGGCUUCCGCAUUGGGAGGGGCCCGCGGCCCAUUAGCUUGUUGGUGGGGUCAAGGCCUACCAAGGCAACGAUGGGUAGCUGGUCUGAGAGGACGAGCCGCCACACUGGGACUGAGACACGGCCCAGCCUCCUAGGGGAGGCAGCAGGGGGGAAUCUUGCGCAAGGGGGGAAAGGGGGACGCAGAAACCCCGGGGGGGGGAAGAAGGCCUUAGGGUUGUAAACCUUUUUCAGAGGGGACGAAGGUUCUCCGGUGAAUAGCCGAGAGGAUUGACGGUACCGUCAGAAGAAGCCCCGGCUAACUACGU
rnacentral:rRNA from 1 species